AUAUUCUUCCAUUUGGACACAAAAAGAUGCAUACAUCAACAUGCACCACAGCCGCACGAAAACUACGCACUUAGAUGUUCAACAGCUUACAUACUUAACCAAUUAUCUUAUUACACACAGCAGGAGACAAUAGUCCAGAGAAAAUCACCAACCCACCAUAUAAUAACGACUAUGGUAGAACAACAAGGAUCAGCCCAAGGUAAGAAUACUAGCUUACGAGCUCCAAUCAUUACGAUUUACGACCUCCCUUCAAGAUGACUUCGCAGAGACAAGCUUGUCAAUGAGCGUGGCAGCAUCUUCAACUGUCGCAAUUGCCUGCGCGCUCGUCUCCUCCACGCUGAUCUGGAACUCCUCCUCAAGGCCCAUCACAAUCUCGACCUGCAUGACAGGAACAUGUAAUUAUUUGCUCCAACAAAUGAGCCAUGCUGUAACUUCCCUCCAAUUAUGCUCUAACACCAAAAAGCAUUAAAAAAAUACAGCUCAUUUGAACCCUUGAGCUAUUUGGCCAGGUUAGGUUAGGUACUGCUUGGCUCAAAACAAACAUGCAUGGCAUCAUGGAUAGUUACCGUGUCCAGUGAAUCAGCUCCAAGGUCAGAAAACUUGGUGGUACCGCAAACUUCAGUGCCUUCAG
rnacentral:lncRNA from 1 species